UCAGACACAGGCACAAGCCACCUGCUGUCUGGAAGACGGGCUUCCUGGACUCAGCAGUGGCCUCUGUGUGGGUUUUCUGCUGUUUUGGUUGCCCUGGGCUUCCAGCAGAGUGCAUGAAUGUCUUCCUCCUGGUGGGCAGAUCCUCAGGAAGGGCAGCUGGGCCUGAGUUCAGGGUUCAGUUUCCCUUGCAAACCCAGCAAUGAGGGAAGAAUGAGUGAGCAGGAGGCAGGCGUGUGCUUCCCUGGGGAGAUGAAGUGUUCCUACCCAUCGUAGUACCUGUGUGAGCAGGUACACUGUGUCGUGCCAUUGUGUACAUGUGUGCACUGAUGUGUCUGACAUUUUUUACAAGAACACAUUCACAUACAGAUCACAUAAAUAAGUACACAUAUAUUUGCAGCUUGUUCUUUUCAUUGAACGGAAUAUGUUAGUCGUGUUUAAAUUCACCCCCCUUUAAGGGAUUGCAUUAGGCAGCUUUUCAUUACUAUAACAAAACAGCUGACACAGAGGUUUAUUUAGCUCACAAGUUUGAAAGCUGAAAGUCAAAACAGCAGAGCAGGGCUGUGGUAAGGAUACCUCUUGCUGUAUUUCCUCAUGGAUUGGGUAGAAAUGGGGAGAACACAAGCCAGAACAAAUGGUCACAUCUCAAGCCAGGAAGCAGAGAGAAAGACUGGGGUCCUACAGUCCCUUCUGAAAGCCUGCCCUUGUGACUCAGAACCUUCCUCCAGGCCCCCCUCUUAAAGAUGUCAUUCUAUCUUCCAUUACUGCCAUCCUGGGGAACAUGUUCCCUACCCAUGACUAUUUGUUAUGGUUUGGAUAUAAAAAGACCCCAAAGGUUCCUGUGUUGAAGGGUUGGUCUCUAGUGCAGCAAUAUUCAGAGGUGGGGUUUUUAGGUAGUCCUUGGGCCAUAAGGGCUGUGAUGUCAUCAGUGGAUUAAUCCAUUGAUGGAUUCUUAAUGUGAUGGCGUCAUUGGGGGAUGUGGAGAGAGGUGGGAGCUAGUGGAAGAGGUGGGCCACUGGGGUCAUUCCCUGUAAGGGUGACACUUGUUCCUGGCUACUCCCCAGCCCCUUCCCUUUCUGCUUUCUGGCUGCCCUGACCUGAGCAGCUGUCCUCUGCUCUGCCCUUCCACCAAGAUACUCUGCCUUACCUCAUGCACAAAUCAACGGACCCCUCUGACCGUAGUGAAACCUCUGAACCAGUGAGUUGAAAUGAUCCCUCCCUCCUUUACCUUGUCUUCAACUCAGGGCUUCCGUCUCGUGAUGAAAAACCUGACUAACCCAUGAGGCACAUCCAAGCCGCUGCAGGUGUUGGAAUAACAAGCAAAUGACAUGAGAAAAGAAAGAGCAUUUUCCCCAGUAGGUCUGGCCCAGAGACGACGGGGUGAGAGUUCCACACGCGGGGUGUGAUGGGAAAUGCUGGGGAGAGGGCGUGGUGGGCACUGGAGUCCAGGGAAGAGCAGAUGCAAGCUCCAUGAUUCCCACGUCUCCCGCCCCCAGUACUGAGGCAAGCCCUGGAGCACACCACAGUGGGAAAC
rnacentral:lncRNA from 1 species